rfam:Bradyrhizobium sp. NAS80.1 Bradyrhizobium_NAS_80.1_c206, whole genome shotgun sequence.
UGGGGACGUAGCAGCCUCCCCGUCAAGUGGGUCUUCCCAUGCAAGGGCUGU